GGGUUCAAGGUCCUCUAUCCCCA
rnacentral:tRNA from 1 species